rnacentral:rRNA from 1 species
UUUCGAGGUAGUGACGAGAAAUAACAAUACAGGGCAUUUUAUGCUCUGUAAUUGGAAUGAUGGGAAUGUAAAACCCUCUCAGAGUAACAAUUGGAGGGCAAGUCUGGUGCCAGCAGCCGCGGUAAUUCCAGCUCCAAUAGUGUAUAUUAGAGUUGUUGCAGUUAAAAAGCUCGUAGUUGGAUUUCUGUCGUGGUCAUCCGGUACCGCCCGUAUGGGUGUGCACCUGGCUUGACCGCGGCUUUCUUCCGGUAGCUUUCCGCGCUUCAUUGCGCGGUUGGUGUUCCGGAACUUUUACUUUGAGAAAAAUAGAGUGUUUCAAGCAGGCUUGUCGCCCUGAAUACUUCAGCAUGGAAUAAUAAGAUAGGACCUUGGUUCUAUUUUGUUGGUUUCUAGGACCAAGGUAAUGAUUAAUAGGGACAGUUGGGGGCAUUCGUAUUUAACUGUCAGAGGUGAAAUUCUUAGAUUUGUUAAAGACGAACUACUGCGAAAGCAUUUGCCAAGGAUGUUUUCAUUAAUCAAGAACGACAGUAGGGGGUUUGAAGACGAUUAGAUACCGUCGUAAUCU